rnacentral:rRNA from 1 species
GAUGAACGCUGGCGGCGUGCCUAAUACAUGCAAGUCGAGCGAACAGAUAAGGAGCUUGCUCCUUUGACGUUAGCGGCGGACGGGUGAGUAACACGUGGGUAACCUACCUAUAAGACUGUGAUAACUUCGGGAAACCGGAGCUAAUCCCGGAUAAUAUUUCGAACCGCAUGGUUCGAUAGUGAAAGCUGGUUUUGCUAUCACUUAUAGCUGGACCCGCGCCGUAUUAGCUAGUUGGUAAGGUAACGGCUUACCAAGGCGACGAUACGUAGCCGACCUGAGAGAGCUAUGGGCCUCUGUCGAUUCUGAAAAGUGUCCAGAUUUCGACGGGAGGCGUGGGAAGGGAGUCUUCGACAAUGGACAGGAGCCUCGUGAUGCUAUGGCGGCUGCGUGAUGUAGGUCUAAUGCUUGGGAGCCUGUGUGAGUAGAGAAGAACAUAGGUGGAAUGGUCGGUGCACGACUUGACGGUAACUAAGCAGAAAGUAAAGGGUAACUACGUG